rnacentral:rRNA from 1 species
UACGUAGGGUGCGAGCGUUAAUCGGCAUUACUGGGCGUAAAGCGUGCGCAGGCGGUUUUGUAAGCCAGAUGUGAAAUCCCCGGGCUUAACCUGGGAAUGGCAUUUGGGACUGCAAGGCUCGAGUGCGGCAGAGGAGACUGGAAUUCCUGGUGUAGCAGUGAAAUGCGUAGAUAUCAGGAGGAACGCCGAUGGCGAAGGCAGGUCUCUGGGCUGGCGCUGACGCUCAUGCACGAAGCGUGGGGAGCAAACAGG